AAUGGCCCUUAUCGAAGCCGUUUCAGUGCCCACCGUCGCUGAAUCGGUCAAAGAGGAGCCUACAUUGGAACUUUUGCCGACGGUCGCUGUUCAGUUUUGUUGUAACUGACUAGCAACAUUAUGGAAAAGGACAUUU